rnacentral:rRNA from 1 species
GAGUUUGAUCCUGGCUCAGGACGAACGCUGGCGGCGUGCCUAAUACAUGCAAGUCGAACGCGUCUCCGUUGAUGAUUUUAGGUGCUUGCACCUGAAAGAUUUAACAUUGAGACGAGUGGCGAACUGGUGAGUAACACGUGGGUAACCUGCCCUUGAAGUAGGGGAUAACACUUGGAAACAGGUGCUAAUACCGUAUAACAACCAAAACCACCUGGUUUUGGUUUAAAAGACGGCUUCGGCUGUCACUUUAGGAUGGACCCGCGGCGUAUUAGCUUGUUGGUAAGGUAACGGCCUACCAAGGCGAUGAUACGUAGCCGACCUGAGAGGGUAAUCGGCCACAUUGGGACUGAGACACGGCCCAAACUCCUACGGGAGGCAGCAGUAGGGAAUCUUCCACAAUGGACGAAAGUCUGAUGGAGCAACGCCGCGUGAGUGAUGAAGGGUUUCGGCUCGUAAAACUCUGUUGUUGGAGAAGAACAGGUGUCAGAGUAACUGUUGACAUCUUGACGGUAUCCAACCAGAAAGCCACGGCUAACUACGUGCCAGCAGCCGCGGUAAUACGUAGGUGGCAAGAGUUGUCCGGAUUUAUUGGGCGUAAAGCGAGCGCAGGCGGUUUUUUAGGUCUGAUGUGAAAGCCUUCGGCUUAACCGGAGAAGUGCAUCGGAAACCGGGAGACUUGAGUGCAGAAGAGGACAGUGGAACUCCAUGUGUAGCGGUGAAAUGCGUAGAUAUAUGGAAGAACACCAGUGGCGAAGGCGGCUGUCUGGUCUGUAACUGACGCUGAGCUCGAAAGCAUGGGUAGCGAACAGGAUUAGAUACCCUGGUAGUCCAUGCCGUAAACGAUGAGUGCUAAGUGUUGGAGGGUUUCCGCCCUUCAUUGCUGCAGCUAACGCAUUAAGC